GGCUAGUUUUAGGACCAAGGAACACAGAUUUAAAGUAAUGGCUAAAAGAUUCAGAAGGAUUGUGAGGGGGGAAUAUUAAGAAAUAUUAAGGAAUAUUGAUCUGGAACUCAGUAAUUGGAAGAAUGGUGGAAAUGGAGUCAAUGGGGGCUUCCAAAAAGAAACUGGAAUGAAAUUUUGAGGAAAAUAAUUUGCAGGCUCAAUACACAACUUUAUUAUGAUUAGUGGGCCUUCAAACAGCACAAACUAUAAAGAGCGCCACCCCGUGUUGUAAAAUCAUCAAUGCCCGAAAUAAAAUCGGAUGUUACUCUUUCUGCCUGCAUUGGAUCUUUUUAGAAGGCCAGUAUCUAUGGAAAGCGAAAACAAAGAAAAUUAAAGUGGCAGGAAGCUUGGGGUAGCUUCUGUAGACUGAUCAUGAGUGCUCUAAAGAUUUCACCAAACCUGCAUUUGGGCUCUCUUGUGUAAAGGAGGGGAGACCGCAUUUUGAAGAUGGUAUGAAGCACUAGGUUGAACGUAUUUUGAAAAAAAUCACUUGACUCUCCUGUGAAAAUAUGUGGAAAGUACAGAUUAAAAAUGGACACUUUUUAAAUUCAGUUACUGACCAAGACGUGUUUUUUUUUGUUUGUUUUUCUCCCCCCAAAGAGAGAUCCUUUUUGUUUUUGUGCUUAAAUACAAUACGCUAUGAAAUGUAUUCAAGAAUCUGAUGCAAGUACUUCCCACAACUUGAAUAUCAAUACAAUUCUCCUCAUUUGAGGAUUUUCACUAUUUUAUUCUUGGAAACAUCUAUUAAAAGUGUGUUUUCUUACCAUAAGUAAAGCUUAGCAUAAAAAUUGAAGACAUCAAAACUUCUUUUUGAGUACAGAAGGGAUGACAGCAAUAUUGUGAAUUACAGGAUAAUUAAAAGGGGUAAUUCUAAUUGAUUUCUGCAUCAUAUUGUACAAAUUAGUGAUCUCCCAAAUGAACCAGAAUAAUUUAAUUUGAACAAAUGGAUUGUUACACUUUUUAAAAAAAAAAUCAGGUUUCCUAUCAAUGAUUUCUAAGGAAACUAUAGUAUACACUUUAAAGUAUUAAAAAAAACACAUUUAGGUAAUUUGCCAUCACUCCUGUGGAAAUCCUCCCUUUAUUUGCAGUGCACCUCAUCAUCAAACACUCCAAGGUUUGAGUUCAUCAACAUGACUCAACACUAACCUCAACAGAGCACCCUCUACUGUAACAGUGCAACAUUUACACUCAAAUUCCUGUAUUAGGCUAGAGAAUUGAUUGUAACUUUUUUUUAUCUGCUGCAAUUGUUUUAUCAAUUUUGUGGGGAAGGAAGCAGUUGGAAGAUGCAGACACUUGUGAUAUUCUGUCAUUGUAGGUGGGUAACAACUUGUAACCACCUAAAUAGACAUUAUUAAAAUGUAGCUGUGAAUUUCCUUAUUGCAUGAUUUCUGAAAUUUUCUGGUUACAAAUAUCAAAACAAUAUUCUGGUAAGUGGAAAUAAAUGGACGAAUGGACACUAAACACAGUGGGGUGGGGGUGGGGAGAGUUAGUUCUCGUCCAUUCUAGUGUAACUACUAUUUUUUAAAAUCCUGAUGUGUUGAUAGCUACUAAGUAGACUCUGCUAUUGAAAAUAUGUUAAAGUGCAGAUUUGUUAGAUUUUAAUUGUUAGAGAUUUAAAAUUUUUCAGUUUUGUCUUUUUCAUUUCUCUCUAAUGCACAUUUUACUUUCCCUCUUGAUAUUUUGUAAAUGAGUUGCAUCGAAUUAACAUUCAUUGCAUGACUCAAUAACAGUUCUUUAAUCUGAUCAGUCAGAGCUACUGUUGUUGUCUGACCUCUUAAAGAUCCAAGAUCCCACUGCAAAUGGUACUGUUAGAAAAUGGUCCUCCAAUCACAAGUUACAAUGCAAAUCUUCACAUACAUUCUGUGGCUCUGAAUUGAAUAUUGUGCUUGUUGUCACUUACUGACUGGUCAAUACAGAUCAUCCUAUUCGGUAGAACUUUUGUGCAUGAAGAUGACUGUGGGGAAAAUAGUUACAGCACAAUUAUUCAAUUUUUCAUAAUUGACAAUUAUUGUCAAAAUUCUUUAUAGACCAUUUAUGAACUAAAUUACAUUUUCAUGUCAAGAUAAAGGUUGUUAAUUCUGUGUAUAAAGUUUGUGCUCUACAAAAAUAAUGCUGAAAGUACUGUACUAAUGCUCACUGUAGAGAAAUGUGGGUGAAAAGAUUCAUUUGAUUAACUACUUUAACUUUGUGCACCUGUAUAUCUAUUUAUAUUUGCUCAGAGUAUGAAUAAUGAUGUCUUCCCUUGCUGUAGUAGCUUUGUGGAGUUCAAAUCUUUAAAUAAGAUUGAGUACUUAAACUUAGAAUGAUCUGUGUCACUUUUUUUCCAAAUAAAAACAAAGGAAUGCAGCAUGGAGUGAAAAUCUGACAGCACAGCCAUAGAAAUAUUUAUUAGAUUUGGCAUUAACCCUCAAUGGCUCAUUCAAGACAUGACAGAUACAGUUAUUAAUCUGAUUAAAGUACUAUUCACCAAUCAGAAUGAUGUGCUACAUUGAAAGUUCAUUUGAG